AAAUCAUCGAUCAUCACAUGAAAUUGACAACGUCUUUCGUUAAAGCUCAUCACGGGAAGAAAGGUGGCGAUUGGACGUCACACAUCGAGGUUCAACCCCUGGCGACCACAAAUCAUCCCCAGUCGACCACGAAAGUGGAAGUCGUGCUCCUCUACUACUCGUCGCUUUGGAAUCCGGCAUGAGUGGGAAUCUCGUUCCCAAAUAUUACGGCGACAUUCUCAAGUCCGUCGAAGGUUACACGCCAGAGUUGGGAAAGUUCACGAUAAAGUUCAUCAACAACAAUAAUGUUUUGAAGUCUUCAUUUAUCCAAACAAGUCUGGAUUGUAUGACUGCCGCUUCAAACACUGUGCUCUCGAGCAUGGCGACCACCUCGGUUUCCGAAAAGCAGUGGUUGUUCUUCCUCAAAAAUAGGAAUCAGCCAGACUCGAACCCUCAAAACUUUCUUGUUUA